CAGAAUGCAGAGCCGAGCUGCCAGAAUACAUCUGUGCGUUUACGUUGGCGCCGUGCUGUGGGACAGAGAAUUCAAGUCAAGAGACACGUGGGCCAGAGGCCUCACUUGGCCUGGUGUCAGCUAGGUGAAGGGGACGGACAGGGAUGGAAGCCUCUAACAACUCUUGUGUCUCAGAGACUCUUGUGUCUUCCUCAGAACCCAAGAGUCUAACCUAAUAAAGCUUUUUCUUUUCUUUUC
rnacentral:lncRNA from 1 species